rnacentral:rRNA from 1 species
AACCUGGUUGAUCCUGCCAGUAGUCAUAUGCUUGUCUUAAAGAUUAAGCCAUGCAUGUCUAAGUAUAAGCUUUUAUAUGGUGAAACUGCGAAUGGCUCAUUAUAACAGUUAUAGUUUAUUUGAUGUUCGUUUUUACAUGGAUAACCGUGCUAAUUGUAGGGCUAAUACAUGUUCGAGACCUUCGGGUGGCGUUUAUUAGACCUAAAACCAAACCUUUUUUUCCACCGGUGAUUCAUAAUAAAAUUGGCAAGCGAAUUUUUUUUGUAUGGAUUAUUUCAUUUUCUUAACUAACCUCUUUGGAAGGGAGGGUAUUGGACUGCCCGGGCCGCGACGGGAAACGGGGAAUUAAGGUUCGAUUCCAGAAAGGGAAGCUGAAAAAAGAAUACCCCAUCUUAUGAAAGGAGGGAGGGCGGCAAUUACCCAACCCUGACCCGAGGAGGGAAGGAAGAGAAAAAAAAAUAACGGGCUUAAUGGAUUGUCAUUUGAAUGGAGGGAAUUUAAACCCCUUCCCUAAUAAAAAUUGGAGGGGAAGGCUGGUGGCCACCGCCGCGGUAAUUCCAGCUCCAAUAGCGUAUAUUAAAAUUGUUGCAGUUAAAAAGCUCGUAGUUGAAUUUCUGCUGCAUUUCAUUUCUCUUUCUGAGUUUGUUUUUGCGGCUUAUUUCGGUUUGAUUUUUUCUUUCCGGAGGAUUACUUUGAGAAAAUUAGAGUGCUCAAAGCAGGCUUUUGCCUUGAAUAGUUUAGCAUGGAAUAAUAAAGUAGGACUUUGGUUCUAUUUUGUUGGUUUUAGGUACCAAAGUAAUGGUUAAUAGGAACAGUUGGGGGCAUUCGUAUUUAACUGUCAGAGGUGAAAUUCUUAGAUUUGUUAAAGACGAACUACUGCGAAAGCAUUUGCCAAGGAUGUUUUCAUUAAUCAAGAACGAAAGUUAGGGGAUCGAAGACGAUCAGAUACCGUCGUAGUCCUAACCCUUUUCUAUGCCGACUAGAGAUUGGAGGUCGUCAGUUUUUACGACUCCUCAGCACCUGAGAGAAAUCAAA